rnacentral:lncRNA from 1 species
GCCAUUUAGAAGUUAAAUCCCUUUGUUUAUGAACCCUAGUCACACCUCCCUGCAUGUGACUUGCACAGCCUUCCAUAAACACUUCCUGUAAAGAGAGCCCUAUUUAGGCUUUCUUUAUUGCUAGUUCUGUUUAAUUAAGAUUUUCUUAUCCCCUGCUAUGUUAAUAGCUUGCUAGACCCUGCAAGAGCCUCCUGUAUGUGAUUAAAG